rnacentral:rRNA from 1 species
UGACUCGUUCAUACUACAGUGGCCACACCAGAUCCCCAUCAGAACUCUGAAGUUAAGCACUGUAAGGCUUGGCUAGUACUGAGGUGGGAGACCGCUCGGGAACACUAAGUGAUGAGUCAU